rnacentral:rRNA from 1 species
UGUGAAAAGCUCCUUCAGGCCGAAGGAAGAGCAACCUUUGAACGCAAAGGUAUCACGGAACUUGACUGCAAGAUUCAUCUAUCAGAGAAGGAUGAAAAUCGACCUAAGA